AAUGAACGCUGGCGGCAGGCCUAACACAUGCAAGUCGAAUGGGUCCUUCGGGACUAGUGGCGGACGGGUGAGUAACGCGUGGGAACGUGCCCCUUGGUACGGAAUAGCCCCGGGAAACUGGGAGUAAUACCGUAUGUGGUCGAGAGACGAAAGAUUUAUCGCCAAGGGAUCGGCCCGCGUUGGAUUAGGUAGUUGGUGGGGUAAUGGCCUACCAAGCCGACGAUCCAUAGCUGGUUUGAGAGGAUGACCAGCCACACUGGGACUGAGACACGGCCCAGACUCCUACGGGAGGCAGCAGUGGGGAAUCUUAGACAAUGGGGGAAACCCUGAUCUAGCCAUGCCGCGUGAUCGAUGAAGGCCUUAGGGUUGUAAAGAUCUUUCAGGUGGGAAGAUAAUGACUGUACCACCAGAAGAAGCCCCGGCUAACUCCGUGCCAGCCGCCGCAGUAA
rnacentral:rRNA from 1 species